rnacentral:lncRNA from 1 species
ACAGAUUUAUCGAAUACAAUAGAAGAUUAGUCUCCGAAUACAAUUCAUCAUAUUAGUCUCCGAAUUUAAAAUACCGAACAAAGUUAGAACAUUACAAGUCUCGAGACCGCGAGUAGCGAGUUUGUCUUCACAUUACAAGUCGAUAUCGAUCAUCUAAACUAUCAUCACAUAGAAGAGAGCUGCGGUCAUCACGAGAAAGACACGCAAAAUUAUCUAAAGUACAACAUCAUCGACACCAAGCAUGUUACUGAAGCCGUGCCUCGAGAAUCACAUUCGCGUCCUUUGUCUGCUACCCCUGUCCUCGUCUUCUU